CGGACGGGUGAGUAACACGUGGAUAACCUACCUAUAAGACUGGGAUAACUUCGGGAAACCGGAGCUAAUACCGGAUAAUAUAUUGAACCGCAUGGUUCAAUGGUGAAAGACGGUUUCGCUGUCACUUAUAGAUGGAUCCGCGCCGCAUUAGCUAGUUGGUAAGGUAACGGCUUACCAAGGCAACGAUGCGUAGCCGACCUGAGAGGGUGAUCGGCCACACUGGAACUGAGACACGGUCCAGACUCCUACGGGAGGCAGCAGCA
rnacentral:rRNA from 1 species